GCUUCUACUUGUACACACAUACACACACGACACCACCGGCCUUUUCAUUGUGUAAACAAACAUGGCCCUUGGAGAUUUGAGUUUAUGAAUGAUUGGUUGUUUAACAGGGUGUAAGAAAGGAGUGCUUGCUGACGCACAUCCUACAAACAAGCCCGAGAAGGAUUAUGCAAUUGAACACUGAAAAGGCCUUCUGCAACAGGGUGGGGACCUGACUUCCGGUACAAAGUAGGGCAAAACCAUUAGAACUACACCAGGCCAGAGAUACAGAUCCUUUGAUAACGGCACUAUCACCGGCGGGCAUUAUCCUCUCGUGUCAGGAAUGCUUCUAGGAGUCUGAAUCAUCUAAGUAAUCAUACCAAACUGUCACUCCUUUUCCAGGGUUUGCCAAUAGGCUUUAAUGAGUCAAGAGUACUCCUGAUAUUGAGCAAAGGCGAGAGCUUCCUCAAAACUAAUGUGUUUUUGAGGAUUACACAACGAUGCGAGUGAUUCUGAGGUGUAGUUUCUGCAUUAGAGAAGAUUUGUCGCAACGGACCAUUGGAACCAUUGGGACCACGGGGAAUAUGUUGUAAUUGGUUAACAAUGACGAUUUCACUUUCUUUUUUAAAUGUACAGUAUGACUUGGGUGAUUUCGCCUACAGCCCCUGUAAAUGUGAAGCAGCUCCCAAAAGAAAUUUAGCCCGUCUGCACCAAACACCGGUCCAGAGGCCUAAGCCAUGGGAUAAUGGAAAGAAAAUAGCGGACAUUCUUGUGGCGGCCCACAGAAACCGGGGCCAUGCAAUAAAGACAGACGAGAUCACUAGUAAAGUGUACACACACUCAAACAGAGGAAAGAUGCAGCCAACUACGCCACAUGGGAGGGAAGGACCUGGGGUCUGGGAACCCUCCCUUAUGAUCUGUGAACUGGCAACCGGCUGUUCUCUAACUGCUGGGCUCAACCGAUGUUUGGCUAUGAAAAAUGAAAGUGAUGAAUUAUUACUAAUCUGCGGAUCAUUUUCUGUAUUAAGCCCACCAGACUUUUCCCCCCUAAUGUUUGUUUUUAAUCACGAAGGAAACAGGAGAAGAAAAUGCCUGACCACAUGUGCAAUUUCUAAUUUCUUUUACAGGACAAUUAUAAUAAUAAGAAAAACAAACAUGUCAUUUACAAAUUAGCAUUAUAUAAUGCUUAACAUACCUGUUUUAUUCAAAUUAAAAACAUUAUUUAAGGUCAUAUUUGUGGUGCACAUGCUCAUGCAUAAGAGUUGUUGGCUCAGUGACCCAGGUUUGAGUCAGACUUGGGUCAUGUCCCAUUCCCACUCCCCCUCUCACACCCCUGCUUUCCUGUCCACACUUGGCUGUCCUAUAAAACAGUACAAAACAACAAACAAUUUUUAUACCUAUAGGUAAA
rnacentral:lncRNA from 1 species